UGAAAGUGGACCGAGGGCCGUGGAUGUUCUCCAAAUCACUUGCAGUUACAGUAAUGAGUUUGAAGUUCCACCUAUAAUCAUCUCCAUCAUCCGAACUGGACCGAAAGAGAUCAGACUAAAGAAGGUGAUUGAACAAAAGGAUGAAGAAAAAAGAAGUUGGGAGAAUCAGGCAAGCACAGGCCUUGAAUAUGAGGAACGUGUGCUAUG